UGCAUCGAUGAAGAACGCAGCGAAAUGCGAUAAGUAAUGUGAAUUGCAGAAUUCAGUGAAUCAUCGAAUCUUUGAACGCACAUUGCGCCCCCUGGUAUUCCGGGGGGCAUGCCUGUCCGAGCGUCAUUACAACCCUCAAGCUCAGCUUGGUAUUGGGCCCCGCCGACCCGGCGGGCCCUAAAGUCAGUGGCGGUGCCGUCCGGCUCCGAGCGUAGUAAUUCUUCUCGCUCCGGAGGUCCGGUCGUGUGCUUGCCAGCAACCCCCAAUUUUUUCAGGUUGACCUCGGAUCAGGUAGGGAUACCCGCUGAACUUAAGCAUAUCAAUAAAGCGGAGGAA
rnacentral:rRNA from 1 species